GCGCCGCGGCCCAGGGGCCUCGCGCGGAGGAGGCGGCGGCGGCGGCCGCUGCUGCGCGGUCUUGGCUCCGGGCCGGGCCGGGCUGAGGCGCCGCGCCCUGAGGCGGCCUCUUUGGGUGCGAAAUGCUGAGGACGCUGCAUGUGCUAAUAUGUGAAUGGCUUAAUGAAGCAGCGUGACCAUCUCAUGCAGUAUAGGAGGAUGUAGUGCGGUUACAUUUAUCGUUUCUAUGCUACUGAUCUAUCUUGGAUAUCUGGACUUUUCCCUUGAUAAUCACUGUUACUCACCAGUCUUUUUUAAACAGAAAUCUUCAGUUCUCAGGUUAACCGGUGUUAUGACAGGAUAAGUUCUCACAGUAUUGCUCAGAACAGAAUGUUUUUAUAAGAGUAGCUGGCAUCCACAUUCUCUAAUUUAGCAGUAGAGAAACCCACACAGGUGGUGUUUCCUUUCCUGGUACCUGUUGACUACCUGCUUACCUUUUGAACCUGGGUCAGAUUAUAAAAGUCUCAGCUCUCUAGUCACAGAAAAUAUUUACUGGUUUGUUAAAAAUAACUACAUCUGCUGCUGUGAAGCCAAGAUCUGUUACAGAAUUCUGUCA